rnacentral:tRNA from 1 species
GCAGUGGUGGCUGAAGGGUAGAAUUCUUGCCUUCCAUGCAGGCAACCUGGGUUCAAUUCCUGGCCGGUGCA